ACUCCUACGGGAGGCAGCAGUGGGAAUUAUUGCACAAUGGGCAGCAAGCCUGAUGCAGCCAUGCCGCGUGUGUGAAGAAGGCCUUUCGGGUUGUAAAGCAACUUUCAGUUGUGAGGAAAGGUUAGUCGCUAAUAUCGGACUAGUCUGUGACGUUAGCAACAGAAGAAGCACCGGCUAACUCCGUGCCAGCAGCCGCGGUAAUACGGAGGGUGCGAGCGUUAAUCGGAAUUACUGGGCGUAAAGCGCGUGUAGGUGGC
rnacentral:rRNA from 1 species